UACGUAGGUGGCUAGCGUUGUCCGGAUUUACUGGGCGUAAAGCGCGCGCAGGCGGUCGUUCAAGUCGGGUGUGAAAGCCCCCGGCUCAACUGGGGAGGGUCACUCGAUACUGAUCGACUCGAAGGCAGGAGAGGGAAGUGGAAUUCCCGGUGUAGUGGUGAAAUGCGUAGAUAUCGGGAGGAACACCAGGGGCGAAGGCGACUUUCUGGCUCGAUACUGACGCUGAGGUGCGAAAGCGUGGGGAGCAAACAGG
rnacentral:rRNA from 1 species